GAUGAACGCUGGCGGCGUGCCUAAUACAUGCAAGUCGAGCGAACAGACGAGGAGCUUGCUCCUCUGACGUUAGCGGCGGACGGGUGAGUAACACGUGGAUAACCUACCUAUAAGACUGGGAUAGCUUCGGGAAACCGGAGCUAAUACCGGAUAAUAUAUUGAACCGCAUGGUUCAAUAGUGAAAGACGGUUUUGCUGUCACUUAUAGAUGGAUCCGCGCCGCAUUAGCUAGUUGGUAAGGUAACGGCUUACCAAGGCGACGAUGCGUAGCCGACCUGAGAGGGUGAUCGGCCACACUGGAACUGAGACACGGUCCAGACUCCUACGGGAGGCAGCAGUAGGGAAUCUUCCGCAAUGGGCGAAAGCCUGACGGAGCAACGCCGCGUGAGUGAUGAAGGUCUUCGGAUCGUAAAACUCUGUUAUUAGGGAAGAACAAAUGUGUAAGUAACUAUGCACGUCUUGACGGUACCUAAUCAGAAAGCCACGGCUAACUACGUG
rnacentral:rRNA from 1 species